UGAUAUUUGAAUGGCCGCGGUAAUUUGACCGUGCAAAGGUAGCAUAGUUAUUAGUCUUUUAAUUGAAGGCUUGAAUGAACGAUUGAAUGAAAAAUUAACUUUAUUAAUAAUAAUUAUUUAAUUUAUUAUUUAAGUUAAAAUACUUAACUAUAUGAAUGGGACGAGAAGACCCUAUAGAGUUUUAUUUUUUUUUUUAUUAUAAAAUUUGACAAUUAAUAUUUUUAUAAUAAAAAAAAAAAAUUUUAUUGGGGUGAUAUUAAAAAUUAAUAAACUUUUAAUUAAAAUUUCAUUAAUAUAUGAUUUAUUGAUCCAUAAAUUUUUGAUUAUAAGAUUAAAUUACCUUAGGGAUAACAGCGUUAUUAAUUUGAAGAGUUCAAAUCGAUAAAUUAGUUUGCGACCUCGAUGUUGGAUUAAGAAAAAAUUUUGAAGUAGUAU
rnacentral:rRNA from 1 species